UCAGGAUGAACGCUGGCGGCGUGCUUAACACAUGCAAGUCGAACGGAGUUUUAACGGAAGUUUCGGAUGGAAGUUUAAGAACUUAGUGGCGGACGGGUGAGUAACGCGUGGGUAACCUGCCUCAUACAGGGGGAUAACAGUUAGAAAUGACUGCUAACACCGCAUAAUAUAGUGAAACCGCAUGAUUUUGCUAUCAAAUAUUUAUAGGUAUGAGAUGGGCCCGCGUCUGAUUAGCUAGUUGGUGGGGUAAAAGCCUACCAAGGCGACGAUCAGUAGCCGGCUUGAGAGAGUGACCGGCCACAUUGGGACUGAGACACGGCCCAAACUCCUACGGGAGGCAGCAGUGGGGAAUAUUGGACAAUGGGGGAAACCCUGAUCCGGCGACGCCCGCGUGAGUGAAGAAGUAUUUCGGUAUGUAAAGCUCUAUCAGCAGGGAAGAUAAUGACAGUACCUGACUAAGAAGCCCCGGCUAACUACGUGCCAGCAGCAGC
rnacentral:rRNA from 1 species